GACGAACGCUGACAGAAUGCUUAACACAUGCAAGUCAACUUGAACUUCGGUUUGGGUGGCGGACGGGUGAGUAACGCGUAAAGAACUUGCCUCACAGAUAGGGACAACAUUUGGAAACGAAUGCUAAUACCUGAUAUUAUGAUUAUAUGGCAUCGUAUAAUUAUGAAAGCUAUAUGCGCUGUGAGAGAGCUUUGCGUCCCAUUAGCUAGUUGGAGAGGUAACGGCUCACCAAGGCGAUGAUGGGUAGCCGGCCUGAGAGGGUGAUCGGCCACAAGGGGACUGAGACACGGCCCUUACUCCUACGGGAGGCAGCAGUGGGGAAUAUUGGACAAUGGACCAAGAGUCUGAUCCAGCAAUUCUGUGUGCACGAUGAAGUUUUUCGGAAUGUAAAGUGCUUUCAGUUGGGAAGAAAAAAAUGACGGUACCAACAGAAGAAGUGACGGCUAAAUACGUG
rnacentral:rRNA from 1 species